UUUUCGACUAGGUUGAGAGCUCGAAGUCCAGUGAGGUUUGAAAUGAUUGGUGAAAGUGGUCCUGUGAGUUCAUAGUUGGACAGAUUCAGUUGUGCUAUGUGGUGACGGUGCUUGUCACAUCUGACACCUGUGAAGUUGCAGACAUCAACAGCCUCAACCCAGUUAGCAAGUCUGAAAUUUGGAUCUAAAAUUACUGUUCGCCUGAAUGCAAGAAGAGCAGCCUUGUCUGUGAGCAAAGAGUGGUGGUGAUAACCUGAAACUGUAAAGGGAGAUGUUAGAACCAAAUGCUGGAGCAGCAGCAGAACUGCCCAAAUGAAUGCCAUUUCUAUUAUUCUCUGCACAUGCAUGUGAUAUGCAUACACACACAGAUAGAUAGGGAGAGAGAUGGAAGGAGGGAGAAAGGGCAGUUGACAUUUGAUUCGUAAUGUUCUAUUGAUGCAAGAAGUGGCUCAAGUGCCAUUAGUUGAAGAUGUCUUUUAGGGACAGCAAUUUGACAUUCUGGAGCACUGUUAGUGCAACAUGUGUCCUGAAGGCUUUGGUUGAAAUUUUAGUGCUCUCUGAUUACAUAUUGCUACCAGGACCACUAUCUUUGGCUUGCCCAUCUGAAACAAAGAUGCUAAUCUUGAGUCAUAUCAACUCAUGGAGGCCCCAAUGACAUCUUCAUUUUUUUGUGGCAGUAGCGAUUGGCAAACUUUCCUGGACUACGCUAGUUGUGUACCAGAAUGUUCCUCUCUCUCCCUCUCUCUCUCUAAUUUAUGAGAAGGCUUCCCUUUGGCAAUUACUCUUAAGUGAGCUGCUUCCGAGUGCAAUCUAGCAUGUCAAUAGUAUCACUUAUCCAUUGAUUGUUUGGUCAGGCUAUACCAAGCGGCUCUCAUCGUUAUUCCUCUGCAGUUUUUUUUUUCUUUUUUCUUUUUUUUUUUGUUUUUUUAAAUUGUUAUUGCAUUAAUGCUAUUCCUCUUCGGUUGCUGUUGUAGUUGUCAUCAGGAUAAACAGAGUCCUAGAUUUGAGGAUUAAUUGGACUUGCCUUUUCAGUUUAUUUAAUUCAAAAAUCUAAACUCAAGGCUUUGAUGAGAUGAUGAAAUUGGGAGUAUAUUGAGGAGAGAAAUAUUAGGCUUCCCCUAUAGGAAUAGGGGGCGGGGGGAAAUGAUGGCAAAGUGGCCAUCAAAAUUUGGUGGACAUGCACGUCCAGCCUUUUGACUUAAAUUUCUUAUCUUUCAGAUUAACCAUCAUUUUGUCUUGCUUUUA